rnacentral:tRNA from 1 species
CGACGUCAUCGCGCACGGCUCGGGCAACCAGCUUUUCGGGCUGGUGGUGGACGCGCUGCUGGGCAUCCUGGACGGUUCGGCCAUCGGCAUCGAC